UACGGGGGGGGCAAGCGUUGUUCGGAAUUACUGGGCGUAAAGGGCUCGUAGGCGGCCAACUAAGUCAUACGUGAAAUCCCUCGGCUUAACCGGGGAACUGCGUCUGAUACUGGAUGGCUUGAGUUCGGGAGAGGGAUGCGGAAUUCCAGGUGUAGCGGUGAAAUGCGUAGAUAUCUGGAGGAACACCGGUGGCGAAGGCGGCAUCCUGGACCGAUACUGACGCUGAGGAGCGAAAGCCAGGGUAGCAAACGGG
rnacentral:rRNA from 1 species